GGAGGAAUACUCAAGUGGCUGAAGAGGCUCGCUUGGAAAGCGGGUAGGCUGUAACAGGUGCAGGGGUUCGAAUCCCCUUUCCUCCGCCA
rnacentral:tRNA from 1 species